rnacentral:lncRNA from 1 species
GAAUAUCAAUAUAUAACUUGAACUCAUCAACAAAACCUUCAAAUUACAUUAACACAUUCGUUAGGGUUUUAUUAAGGUGGAAAAAAAUAUUUCUGAAUCGUUGAUUAACAUGAAAAAGGCAAAAGGCGAAUACACGAGUUCCGACUCAGUGGACACGAUAUCCGAGUUGCCAAAAGACAUCUUGCACAGAAUUAUGUAUUUCCUCACCCAAGAAGAGGCUGUCCGAACAUCUGUCUUGUCCAAACCCUGGCGUUACAUUUGGUGCACUCGCCCCGUUCUUAAUUUCUCAGACGCCGCCUUCAAAGGUAACAAUCAAGAAUUUAUAGAUGUUAUCGACACGAAUUUGCAACGAUACUAUGAUCAAAGGUUGUGCGUGGAUGAAUUCCAUCUCCGUAUAUCGAAAGGCUAUUUGAAUCACGAAUCUUAUCGUUUUCUUGAAAAAUGGAUUCGAACACUCGCGGUUAUCGGCAUCAAGAAGUUUCGUCUCUCUAAUCGUACGGAGAAUGGUUUUGUUCACUGUCUGCCUCCUGUAGUCUUCGAAGCUCGAUCGCUUGAAGAUUUGCACGUAGAAAUAUGCACGGCGGACGAAAACUGAAAAGGUGUACGGAAGGAUAGUAUUCUCUAAGCAUCUGAAAAAACUUCAUCUCGAAAAAGUCUACAUUCGGGACGAAGAUUUCCACAAGGCAAUCUCGAGUUCUCCUUUCGCGGCUAUCGAAACCAUGUCUCUUGAUUCGUGCAAAGGGUUACGAAACGUUGACAUCACUAAUCUCCGUAAUCUCAAGAACUUUUCUUUUCGUACGAAACCCUUGGCGUACGAUCACGACGAACGAUGUAGCAUCGAGAUCCAUCCGCCAUCGCUCGAGACGGUCAAAAUUACGCACUGUGACCUUUGGUUCCGCAGAGGAGCGGAUUUUUGCAGUCUCGAUGAAUUGUAUCUAUUUGGUGUGAAAUCGAAAUUGGACCAAUUGUCUUCGUGUAAAUUCUCGAGUCUGAAAGUGUUGACUAUGCACUAUUGUUACGAACUGAAAGAAACGAAGCUAUUUAUCGACGCACCAAACAUAGUCAAAUUUAGAUAUAUAGGAGAGUUUAUCCCAUCCAUCUCUUUUGGGACAACUAGUUCUAGACAUUGGUCUUCACGGAUACAUCUGCUCCCGAAAAACGGCGCUUCUUCGUCUUUGUGGUUCCGAAAGCUAAAAGAACUGCUCGAUUCGUUAGGCCAAUCGAUUUUUUUUUUGUUUAUUAUCGACAAUUCCGAGAACGACGAGGGCAUCAUAAUUCAAGACGGCGGUUGUGAAAAAAAACAUGUUGUGGUGGAGAACUUGGGGAUCCAAUCUCGUUUAUCGUCUACUUUUUCGUCUCUUUUGAACGGCGCGUUUAGUAUUUGUCGUCCGAGAAACAUCGGUGGGUACGACCUCAGAAAGGAUAUUGACGAUAUCGAGUGUGUGCAGAAGAUUCUAAUGCAGAGGGAAAGCGGAAACCAAUUCGAUCAAUUCUCGCAGAUGUGGUUUCGAGAUUUGGAGGAUGUGAGAUUGCAGAUUUACGACAAGAAUCGGAAUGAAUGGAUUACGACAAGUGUGUCCGAAUUGACGAACUUUAAAGAAACCGAAUAUAAUUAUAUUCGGUUUGCAUUGAAAUGGAGAUAAUUACGCCUAGUGAGACUUAUAGAGAAAAAAUCACUUUAAUUUUGUUGUCUUUAUAUAUCCCAGUUUUUAUGCAUUCUGAAUCACUUUGAUUUGUUUUAAUGCAUGAACGGUUGACAUUUGUCCCCUGAUUAAGAAACAUUUACGGGUGCCGAAAUCAAGGCACAAAUAUUUGACGGUCGGAAAAUUAUUUGAUAAAGAUGAUUCGAAGAGAAAGAAUGUAGAAUUCAUCGUUCGUCCAAACUGGACAAUUAGCAUCAUAUGCAAAUGUUACUUAUACAGAACAAAAUACAAAAUACAGUGGCAGAUUUCUCAGCUAGCCAUGAAAUCUUACAUAUAAUCGAACUCAUUAGAUAUAUCUUUGCACUUUUGUAUUCAAGAGUUCACUUAAUUAUUUGAUGAUGUCAUCAAUUUGCAUCCAAAAAAUGGCCUACCACAUAUAAUUAUAUAUAUAUAUAUAUAAGCAAUCAUCUUGGGCUGGAUAGUUGUUCUGAUUGAAUUGGGCUAUCGAGUAACGUUAGAUCCAAUUGCUCGUUGAAUCUCUUCAUUAUUUCUUCGUUACAGAACUCUUCCCACAUUUGAGCUAAUAAUAAGCCAUCUCCAACUCCAAGUGGUAGCAUUACCCUCACAAUUUCCGACAUAUUUCCGGGUUGUCAUGUGUGCAGAGCAGAGCUAUUUGAAUCAAUUGCUCCACUUCUUCUUCAAUGUAAUAAUUAUUACCUCCAAAAUCGGGAUCAACAAUCCUCUCCCAUUGCUUUUCCUUUAAAUACGGCUUUACCUGAUCGAUCAUAUUAAAAUUUGGGAAGCUCUUAGUUAAUUAUUAAGGACUUACAACGGAAUUAUUAAUUAUUUAUAUGUACAUAGGAUCUCACCCAAUCAAGUAACAUCACAUCUUCGUCAUUAGCAAGCCGAGCAAGAUCAAAAGCUCUCUGCCCUGUGAUGAGCUCAAGAAGAAACAUACCAUAACCAUAAACAUCACUUUUCUCCGGAAGAGUACCCUUGGAGAGAUACUCUGGGGCUAUAUUACCACCAAUUGUUCCUCGUAUAGCAUCUUCAACAUGUGUUACACCGUGCAAAUAGGCUAGACCCCUUGCAGCCUCCGUUUUCUUACUGACCAAUCAAGUGGAGGUUGUGACUCUUCUCCGGUCGAUCUGCAAUAACACCAAUUAAAUUUCAAACAAAAGAUUAAUUAAUGGAGGUCUACUCUAUGAAUACUUAUACAACAGUUCAAUCAAGGUUGUAUUACAUUUAUUCUUGAGGUACGCAUCGUAUAAUAUUUUCCCCCAUAUGGCGUCAAUAUUCAUGGAAUCUUUUAGAUUCCAUGAAUAUUUCUACAAAAAAACUCCAAUUUUAACUAUCAAAUGUUUUUUUUUCAAAAACUAUCCAAUGGUUAACUAUAAUAUUUUUUUUAUGGAAUUAAUUACAAUAUUUCUACACAGUAUAAAAUAUAGUUUAUUAUGAAUAUGGAUGGCAAUAUUCUUUUUUUCUUACUUCACUUGCUUUUUAUCUCAAACAUUAACCGCUCGAGAAAUUACCACUUAAGCAUGAUGCAACACUUCCGUUGGCCAUGUAGGGAUAAACGAGCAGGUUCUCUUGUUGUGUAACGCAAACGCCAAUUAAUGGGAGUAAAUUUGGAUGCACAUUAACAAUGCUCAUCGUUUCAACUUCUGUUUUCAAAUGCUGCAAAUCUGUAGGUGAGAUGUCUCGUAACUGUUUUAUAGGAAAAAUAGAAUAGGAGAAAGAGAGAAAUAAUAAUAUUACGUAAUCCCAUUAUGUUAUGGGUUGAUUACAUGUAAUAUAUAGAGAAAUAAUACGAGGUAAUAGAGUUUGACUAGGUAACUAAAUCCUAACUAAUCUAGGUAACCGAAUCAUAAUAGAAUCCUAAUAUUCUAUAAUAUCUAACAAUAUAAUAUACUCUAACACGCCCCCGCAGUCGAAACGUGACGAAUGUGAAGACUGGACAAUCACUUGCUAGCACGCUCACGCAGUCGGGACGAAUAAGCUUCAAAAGUGAAGACUGGACAAAAACCGCAAAACACAACGCUAGAGAAUUUCUCUGUGGAAAUAUCUGUCCAAUUGAUAAAAUAAUAAUAAUAAUAAUAAUAAUAAUAAUAAUAAUAAUAAUAAUAAUAAUAAUAAUAAUAAUAAUAAUAAUAAUAAUAAUAAUAAUAAUAAUAAUAAUAAUAAUAAUAAUAAUAAUAAUAAUAAUAAUAAUAAUAAACGGGUGAAAAGUUUUUUUUUUUUUUUUGUGUAUGAUUCGAGAGAGAGAGAAGAUAUAAAAGCGGAAAAAGAAUAAUUAAAAGAAGAAUAGAGAUGAGAAAGAGAGAAAGGAGAUUAACCAACUAAGAAGAAAAAGAUGUCGGAAAGAAAAAAAAAUAUAAGUUACCACCAUCGGGGGAGGGAGGAAAUUGGUUUAGUGGUCGCCGGCCAUGGAGAAGAAGAGAGGCGGCGGCUAGGUUUUAGGCCAUGGAGAAGAAGAAAGGCGGCAGCUAGGUUUUAGGCCAUGGAGAAGAAAAGAGGAAGAAGAAGAAGAAAGAGAGAAGAUGCACCACCGGGGAGGGAGAAAAUCCGGGUGGUGUUCAUAGAAGAUAGAAAAGAAAGGGAGAAAAUUCGGGUGGUGUUCAUAGAAGAUAGAAAAGAAAAAGAUAAAUAUUAGAGUACCACCACUGAGGAAGAAAGGCGGCUAGGUUUUCACCGCCAUGGAGAAGGAAGGCGGCUAGGUUAAAAAACCUAAAUCUGGUGCUCUGAUACCAUAUAGAAAUAAUAGAAUAAAGAGCCCGCAUGGGUGUAGCUCAACUGGUUCCGGAGGUGGUAAGUUGGUGUAAGGUCCUAGGAUCGAAUCCUGGCAGCCGCAGUGUGGGAAUUUCAACUCCAAAUGAGGGUUGGUUCCUUGUGGGCACUAGGUCCGGGUCCGCUACCUUAACGGGCCGUUGAGUUAACCAUGAUUUACAUCCUCCAUCAAUCCUUGUCGGACCAAGGAAUGGGGGUCCGUUACCUUAACGGGCCGUUGAGUUACCAUGAUUUACAUCCUCCAUCAAUCCUUGUCGGGCCAAGGGAUGGGGGCCCUUGGGGCGAGGGAUUCGCCUUUUGGUGUAAGAAUAGAAUAAAGAGAUAGAGAGAAAUAAUAAUACGUAAUAUAAUAGAAACCCCAUUAUGUUAUGGGUUGAUUACAUGGAAUAUAUAGAGAAAUAUUGUAAGGUAAUAGAAUUUGACUAGGUAACUAAAUCCUAACUAAUCUAGGUAAUCGAAUCAUAAUAAAAUCCUAAUAUUCUAUAAUACUCCCUCCGUCCCAUUUUAAAUGUCGUUUUUUGUGGUUACGCGUAGAUUAAGAUAGUCAAUAAAUAUGUAUAGAUUAUACCAAAAAUAGCAUAGUAAAUACUAAAAUACCCUUGUUAUUAAUUAUUUUUUAAUUAACUAAUUAAGAGUGAUAAGGGGCAAAAUUGAUAAAAAUGCAAUUAAUACCAUAUUGAAACUCUAAAAUGACAAAUAAUUUGGGACAAAAAAAACACUCCAAAAAGACAUAUAAUAAGGGACAGAGGGAGUAUCUAAUAAUAUAAUAUACUCUACCAUGUUUAUAUCUUUUAACCGCCACUAGAAUGCCAUUUGCUAACCGGCCUUUGUAGGAACUUAUACCAUAUUGAUCUUUAGAUAAGAUAUUUCUAUUCGAAAAGUUAUCUGUUACAAUCUCCAAUUCGUCUAGAGAAAAUUUGCUAACUCCUGCAUACAAGCGCCCAUUGAAUCACCAAUUAAAAUACAAAACAAGUAAUGUGGGAACAUUAUAUAUAUAUAUAUAUAUAUAUAUAUAUAUAUAUAUAUAUAUAUAUAUAUAUAUAUAUAUAUGUAUAUAUAUAUAUGGUAAAUAGCACUUAAACCCCCCCUUGGUUACAAGCUUACCUCCUUGUGCUAGUAACAUCAGCACAUAAUCCCAUUGUAGUUGAUGGUGGUAACUUCCGUUAGUUUUUCCGUCAAACUUAAUUGUAUGUGUCACGUCAAAGUAUUUUUUUUUGCAGAUGAUCCCCAUGUGCUUUUAUUUCUGCAGAUGACCCCCUUCAAAUUUGACACACGCGGUUAAGUUUGACAGAAAAACUACCGGCAGUUACCCCCAUCAACCACAAGGGAGUUAUGUGCUGAUAUUACGAGCACAACGGACAUGGGAAAAAGCUUGUAGGAACAUACUAGCAAUUAGAUUACCUGUAAACAAGUAAUGUAAUUUAAAUCCACAUUUAGAAAACUAACCGGCAGGAAUAUUAAUGAUAUGAUGUUUUUGCCGUGGUUUCUUUCCUUUGUACCAAUUAGCAGGAAAUAGCUUUCGUGUGAUAUUGGCUCCACCGGAUUUCUUGCCAACUGGAAUAAGCAACAAACAGCCAAAUGUUAUUCAUUAAAUUUUAUUUGAAAUUCCAAAUUAUAGUGGGGAAAGCCCACUAUAAAAAAAAAUGUGAAUUACAAAAAUAUUAAGGCAUCGUUUGGCUGAGGAGAUUAGCUAUUAUUUACUAAAUAAUUGGACUUUGUCUGAUGUUUAGUAUCACAAUAAAUUAUCAGACCGAUCCGUAAAUAUUAUGCUAUCACGACUUACCUUUCUUAUCUUGCCUUUCAGAGAGUUUUUUCUUUAUUUUUUUUUUAGAAAUUCUGUGGUCCUAUUUUUAACCGGGUUUAAUUCACCAAAACAUUAAAUAAAUUAGGAACCUGGAGAGACAGUAGGCGGGUUAUUAAGUUGCAGUGGAGGUGGCCGAGAUACAGAUGUAGCUACUGCCCAUCUUUUACUCCUGAAAAUUAUUGAAUAAAUAGUCCUCAUUUUUUAAUGCAAUCAAAGAUCUCCGCUUUCCAAUUAAAAAAAAAGAAAAAUGAAUAAUAAUAAAUUACUCGAGAAAUUGUUCGUUGAAACGAUCAUCGUCAUCCACUGAUGAAGCGACGGUGCUGAUAGAGUGAGAGUGGAAUAGUUCCCAAAUCUGCUGCUUCCGUACAACCGCUGUCACUAACCUCUCCCAAUUAUCCCUAGAUGAGUACAUCUCUCUAAUCUCUCUCUCUCUCUAAACUUUUCUCUCUCUAGCUUACGAUCACAAUAUAGAAUUAACUAUAUAAUAUGAAUUUUUUCAGAUUUGAUUAAUAUGUUUAAAAUGUUGUUUCGCUGAAAUUGUGUGGAAAGAGAGGAGAAACGCGUUUUCCCCACAUCAUAGUCAAGCAGAGUGGGACUACUCAUUUACUGAAUGACAUGUCUUUGCAUUGUCACAGUUGAUCUUUAUUCUUUUCCUUUUUCCUCUUUUAUUUACAUUCAAUAGAUCAACUGAAUCGGCAACGCCCAUGAUUUUUUUUCCUUUUUUUUUUUUGUUUUUUUUUUUGGGUUAAAUACAAAAACACCCUUGUACUAUGGACUUGGUAUCAUAUAUCCCCUAAACUACACAUAAAUACAAAAACCCCCCUACUGUUAUAUAUUUUUCAAAAUUUGACGACCCCUGCUUAGCCUAUAAAUAUAAGGGUUUGUUUGAGCCAUUUUCCACUAUAUUUUUUUAACAUUUUCGGUCAAUUUUACUUGGGAAAUUUAAAUAUUUUUUAUUUUUUUCUCCAAAACAUUUAACUACUUAGAUAUAUUUUUUUUAAAUUUUCUGAAUAAAACCUUUUUAUUUUUGUCAUUUUGAAUUUCUUCAUUUUUUUCUUAAAUGUCUUCCGGUAGUUCAAAUUCUCAACAAUCAUAGUAUUGUAAAGAUGGUUGUAAUCUUAGGAUGUUUGAACUACCAGAACACAUUUAAGAAGAAAAAAAAUGAAGAAACUCAAAAUAACAAAAAUAAAAGGUUUUAUUCCGAAAAUAAAAAAAAAUCUAAGCAAAUAGAUGUUUUAGAGAAAAAAAUAUGAAUACCAAAAUUUUCAACGUAAAAUUGACUGAAAAUGGCUCAACAUAUAUAUAUAUAUAUAUAUAUAUAUAUAUAUAUAUAUAUAUAUAUAUAUAUAUAUGUGUGUGUGUGUGUGUGUGUGUGUGUGGUAAAAUAUAUAUACUUGAGUAGGGGUAUUUUUGUCAUAUUUUGAAAAAAUGUAAUGUGAGGGGAGUUUUUGUAUUUAUGUGUAGUGCAGGGGGGUGUAUGAUACAAAAUUGAUAGUACAGAGGUGUUUUUGUAUUUAACCCUUUUUUUUCCAGCUAUUCAAUCAACACAGUAAUAGUUAGUAAAGUAUGAUCUUAACCAACAGAGUAAAAUAUCCAGAAAAGAAAAAUGGAAAAAAAAAAGCCGCAGCUAUUUGAAAUACUAAUUCCAAUAAGGAGACGAUCAAAUUGAAUUUUUCAAUGUAAAUACUAUCUUACAAAGAGAACAAGUAUGAAAUUAAAAGACAUCAAAAUGACAAUUAAAAGACAUCAAAAUGACAGUAUGCAUUAAUGUCUAUUUUUUAGCUAGGUGACCAUAGUUAUAGAUUCCAACAGUUUACCAAAGAACCAACACAACUAAUAUAAGAAAAAAAAAAUUGGGUAAAAUCCCCUAUAGUUACAAACUUUUGCAGAUGACCCCCUUUUGUUCGUAAUAUCAAAAUAGGGUAAAUAAUACUUAACCCCUUGUGGCUACCAGCUUUUGCAUAUGAUUACAUUGGGCUUAUAAUAUGAGAGCAUACCCCAUUGCGGUUGAUGGGAGUAGCUUUCGUUAGUUUUUUUGUCAAAAAAUUAACCGUCUGUGUAGAACGUUAAUUUUAACGCAGAAACUAAGGGACGAUACCCCUAUUAACCACGAGGGAGCUAUGUGCUAAUAUUACGAGCACAAGUGGGUCAUGUACAAAAGCUUGUAACGACAAGAGGUGGGUAGGUAGAACAAUAAGAUUUCUAUUUCUAAAUAUCAGGACUAGAGAAUAAAACGUACCAUGUAAAGUGAACCGUAGAACUUUAUUUAUGGUGUGAUUAGUAGAAUCCUUAUUAGAGUAUAACUCUAAAUAGGAUUAGUAAACCCUAAUGGACUUUUAAGAUCUUGUUAAUGGAAUUAAGCCAUCAGUUAAUGACUAUGUAAGGUGGAUCUCGGGCCUUUUAGAUGGUCCAAAUACUUUUUGGCUUAUUGUGCCGGUCCAACAAGAUAUAUCAUUUAUCCUAUAUCUUUUUAGGGUAAAUAGCACUUAACCCCUCCUGUAGUUACAACCUUUUGCAGAUGACCCCUUGUGCUCUUAAUAUCAACACAUAAUCCCCUUGUGGUUAAGGGAGUAACUUUCGUUAGUUUUUCCAUCAAACUUAACCACAUGUGUCUAAGGUGAAAGUAUAUAUUUUUUGUUUGCAGAUGAGCCCUCUUUGCUUACAUUUUCCCUUUCAUUUUUGCAGAUGGCUCCCUUAAAGUUUGAAACAUGCGGUUAAGUUUGACGGGAAAACCGACAAAAGCUACCCCUUAGACCACAUUGAUCAAUUCAACAAUGAUCCCCGUAUCCCAACUUUCAUUGAUAGUAAGCCAUCUCCGUAGUAUUAUCCUCACAAUAUCCGACAUAUUGGGUCGUCUCUCCGGGUUGUAUUGUUUGCAGAGCAGAGCUAUUUGAAUCAAUUGCUCCACUUCUUCUUCAAUGUAAUAAUUAUUACCUCCAAAAUCGGGAUCAACAAUCCUCUCCCAUUCCUUCUCCUUUACGUGUGUCUUUACCUGACAUAUAUUAUUGGAGAAGCUCUUAGUUAGUUGUUAAGGCGAUCGAAUAUUACAGCAUACUUUACGAGGCAAUUAUUAAUUAUAUAUAUGUACAUAUGCUCUCACCCUAUCAAGUAACAUCACAUCUUCGUCAUUAGCAAGCCUACCAAGAUCAAAAGCUCUUUGCCCUGUGAUGAGCUCAAGAAGGAAAAUACCAUAACCAUAAACAUCACUUUUCUCUGAACAAAUUAACCUAGAGAAAUAUUCAGGAGCUAUAUGACCAAUUGGUCCAUGUGUGUGGCCAGCUCAAAGUUACCAAUAAUUGCUUCAAAGUCCUCGUUCAAAUAUAUAUUUACAGCAUUGACGUCACGAUGGAUGAUUUUACGUUCAAAUCCAUAGUGCAAUAGGCUAGACCCUUUGCAGCCCCGAAUGCUAUCUGUUUUCUUAUUUGCCAAUCAAGUGGAGGUUGCGACUCCGGUCGAUCUGCAACAACACCAUUUACUCUAUAAGAUUCUUUUAGGGGAUUAAUUAUAAUAUUUCUACAUAAUAUAAAAUAUAGUUUAUUAUGAAUAUGCAUGGCGAAUAUUAUUUUUCUUACUUCAGUUGCUUAUUAUCUUAAACAUUAACUAACGGCUCGAGAAAUAAUUACCUCUUAAAAAUGAUACAACGCUUCCGUUGGCCAUGUAUGGAUGAACGAGAAUCUUUUCUUUUUUCGUUACGCAGAUACCAAUUAAUCGGAGUAAAUUUGGAUGCGCGUUAACAAUGCUCAUCGUUUCAAAUUCUGUUUCGAAUUGCUUUCGAAAUUGGAGUAACUGUUCAUAUCUUUUAAUGGCCACUAGAAUGCCAUUCGCUAACCGGCCUUUGUACAACUCCGCAAAUCCGAAUCUAAAAAGGAUAUUUCUAUCUGCAAAGUUAUCUGUUGCAAUCUUCAAUUCCUUUAGAGAAAAUGUUCGAACUCCUGCACACAAGCCCAUUGCAUCACCAAUUAAAAUACAAUGCAAGUAAUGUAGGACGAAGGAACAUAUUAGCAAUUAGAUUACCUAUAAAAAAAAGUAAUGCAAUUUCAAUCCACAUUUAGAAGACUAAUAGAACUAAAGUUGUGUUUUUGUACAACUUAUAAAGCAUAGGAAUUUAUGUAAUAGAACUAAAGUUGUGUUUGUACAACAUAGCAACUUAUAUCUGCAUUAGAUAAAAAUGCUAUGUAGAUAUAAAUAUUAGUUAGUUUUAUAGUAUGGUAUAUAUGAGUAAAGUGCAAUUACCUCCUCUAUGUAAUCUUGAUAUGCUAAAAAAGCUCCUAUCAAAUAAAAACUAGCAAAAACUCCCUUAUGAUCUUGUUUAAAUAGAACACUUAAAACUCUUUUACCAUUUACGCAUUGACCAGGCGGGAAUGUUGGUCCCGAUACAUAAAACGGGUAGUGAAUUUAGUAAAUUGGUUGAACAAAUUAAUUAGUGAAAAUACGAAAAGAUUAGCCGAGGCGAGUUGACUAUGUCCUUAAGACGAAAUUUCCCCGCAACGGUGCUAACGGAUUAAAUGGAAAUCGUCUCCCAAGAUACAACAGCAAAACUUGGAAUAAGAGCACUCCAAAUCCCAAGUACGACGAACUGUACUUUGUGUAGAACUUUUCGAGAGAAUCUGUGAAGGGUAGGCUUAAUAUGUAGUAGUAGGCUUGUUUUUGGAUUGAAGUGAGGAAUUGUGGGAAAGUUAGGGUCUAUUUAUAAGGUUCGAAAAGUAGUGUCCUUUUGGAGUAAAAAGGUACCUUUUGUUUGAAUGGUUGCACCAUUUCAAAUUGAGCCAAUUGGGAGUGGUUGCACCAUUUCGAGUUGAGCCGAAUGGUUUGCAUUGGUUCGGCCGCACCAAUUCAAACCAGUCAGACAAUCGAGAUGGGCUUCGAGUAAUAAGGGCCCAAUGGGUUAAAAGCCCAUGAUCUAAUGUUUUUGGCCCGUCCCAAUAAUUUGAUAUAUAUACAGCUCAGUACUUCUCUACUUUUCCAAUGUGGGAUAACUCAAAAUCCCGCUUUCCUUAUAUUUUGGACUAGUAAUUUUUUUCAUUCACCACAAAAUUGGUUCUAAUCCAAAAUUCAUUAUAUACUCAAUUAGACGGUACAAUAACAUUGAUAAAAAAAUGUUCAUGACUCAAUUUUUAACCAAUUUUCCCAACAAUCCCCCACAUGAAUGAAAACGAGGGCGUCGAUUCUCUCUAGAGUUCCCGCGAAUAGUAUUGCAUCGGGAUAGGUAGCAUAUAGCUUUGAACCUUCCGUAGUGGAGUUACAUCGGAUUUACUAGGCUGAGUAGUGAACGCGAUGUCUUGAACUGUCAGCCGUUCGUGUAAACCAAGACAAUGCAACCCACACAAUACUAUUCUCACAUUUCCUUUGUUCUCAUGAUUGUGUCCGUUUUGGCCAUGGACACACAUCUUGGAUUCAUAAGUGUUUGUCAAGUUUUUGAAGCGGCCCUCACUUCAUACACUUACAUAGGUGAUCUCCUAUUAAAGGUAUCCUGCCAAUACCUCACCUUUUGUUAUAAGGUUUUGGAAUCAUUAAAAGCUUUCGCUUAUCCUUUACCCUCUCUGCAGGCAGCACUAAUGUCUAUCACGGGAAUGAGUUGGAAAUAUAUUAUUCCAUAGGAAUAUAUACUCCUUAGUGCAUCACUGAACUUUCUUAGCUUAGUUGUCCCUUUUGAACCAGUUCUUGGGAUCUCCAGUCAGCAUGGUUGGGUUACCACCAAGAUUGUCCUUAAUUUAUGGGUUUUAAUCUCACUCCCCUAGACAGGCAAUAUGUUUGAUCUCUUUAGUUGACUUUUAGUCGCGGAUCCGCUAUUAACCAUUGAUUUUCAUAAUCAAUGUUAUAUUAUUUCUUUUGAGAUCAAUUGCCUAAUGGUCUUAUGUGUACGAGUGUAUCGAUACUUGCCAUUAUACAUGUCGUUUGUGCCCUUAACGUAACCGAUUGGUUAUCACAAUUUAUUCAUAAUUGUAGACACCGACUUAGUCCAACACGGAACAUCCUCCAAUAAUUUUAUGAAGUUUAUUCAACUUCUUUUAUAACCUUAUCUCAAGUUAUACAUUCGAAUUCGACCAUGAAUCGAGCUAUUCAAUUUUGUUUGAGGAUUUCCAAGAUACAUAAUCUUAGUGGACUCAUAUAUCCAAUGUAUUUUCCUAACACAAUAAGAUAUUUUCUUUAAUGUAAUCCAUUUAAAGGCUAUACUUAGAUUACCUAAGAACCCUUAUAAUAUCAUUUAAUGAUUAUUAUUUUUGGAAUUACAUAUUUACUAGUUUGCAAUUCAUUAUGCUGCCAAACUAUCCAAAAAUAUUUGUAAUUGAACCAUUGUUCAUCAUUAUUUUUGGCAAGGUAAACCCUUGGUCUUUAGAUAACUAGAUCAAUUUUCUAGUAGUGUCUCAACAUGAGACUUUCAAUAAGACUAUCUUUGUCUUAGUGAUUUUAAUCUGUAAGAUUACAUCGUCUAGACCCUCGUCUUUUGACAUCAAAAAUUUUAUUUUUACUUUUCCAAUAUUUUCUCAACGUUCAAAAUAGUAUCAUGAUCACUAUCUCAUGAUUAUAAUGUCGUCUAUAGACAUAUACUUCCAUGUGCUUUUAAUAUAAACACACUGGCCACACUCGUUAUUACGAGAAUUACUAACACAAUUUUAUCAAAUAUUACUUUAGAAUAUUUCCAUAGCUAUUUAAUUUAGCUUGAUAUUACAAUGUUAUAAAUAAUCAAGAUUUUCCAUAGCUAUUUAAUUUAGCUUUAUUGGACCACCCUUAAUCAUUCCUUUGAAUAGUCCAUCAAAACCUUAAUGGUUUACUACUUGGAAGAAGACAGACUAACUUCCACGUACAUUCUUCCAAUGUAGACAAUAUUUCAAUAAUUGUCCUUUGUUCAUUUUAUAACUCAUAAAACAUAUUGAUUUUCUUUGUCAUCUUGUUGUAUCUUGGUUGUUCAUCACUUUGAUGAUUUACCAAUCACACAUAUUUUAACUUGGUUGUUCAUCACUUUGAUGAUUUACCACUUAGACAUUUAUUAGUUCUCUUAUUUAGAACUUAUUUAUUUUCUUAUUUUACAAGAAAGAUAUAAUGUAAUUUGCAUCAAGAAUGACUAUCUUAUGCACAAUCAUUAUUUGCAUAUUCAAUGAAUAUGCUUCUUUCCAACUUUCAUUCACAUAGCAUUUAAAUGCUUUGAGAUCCUUAUUUUUAUUUUUAUUAAUAAGGAUACAACAUAUAACAAAAUACAUCUUCUUUUGUUAGAAAAAUAUAUUGGGUCACCAACAUAUUUAAUUACAAAGUAUUGUAUUUCUUUCUCUCAAGAAAGCACAGAAAGAGAAAUCUUCUCAAGAUACUUAAAUCUUGUCAACAAAUAAGAUUUCUUCAUUUUCCUCAAAAGAGAAAACCCGUCAAGAUACUUAAAUCUUAUUAAUAAACAAGAGAAUAUUAUUCUCUUCAAAUGGUGGUUGAUCUCCACUAUUCAAUAUUAACGUUAGAAUAUACAAAUUCUAAUCUUAAUCGUUCAUAAUUUAGGAUUGUAUGUCCUAAACAUGCCGUUCAAAAUUCAGCCAAAUCCAACGAUUUAAUUCUACAAAACAAGCUCUUAAGUAAAUUGCUCGAAUUUUAUUUCAACAAAGCAUUCAUUGUUGUUUACAAUUAUUUCGGAUGUUUGGAAAUCAAAAUCCGAUCUCAUCCAUUCACAUUGUAGAUCAUCACAUUGUAAAUGUGAUAUCAAAAAAUCAAAUUGAACCAACGAUUCGAUCUUCUCUUAUGUUCUUGAGACAAGAACUACUCAUGUGCUCUCAUGAAUUGAGCUUCUCUUUCUUUCUAUUUUAUUUCAAAUCGUGCUUUUAAUUAAACCGUAGUAUGAUUCAUAUAUAAAACAUAUGUACAUCAAUAUUAUAAUAAACGUAAUAUUUGACAUGUGAGCACGUCUUUCAUACUAGUUGAUCAUAAAAAGAAACAAUAUAUCAAGCAUAUUAUAUCAACAUAUAGUAUACACACGAGUAUAUAAUAACAUCAAGUUUGAACAUAAUAUUUCAUGCCAUAAAUUAGUUCAUGUCCAACAUAAUGAAUUGAUAUAAAUUUUAUAGCACGUAAUCAAUGCUUGUCCAUGCAAUAACACAAUUAUGAUGAAUUAGUAUGGUUUACGCAAAUAAUAAUAUGUAUACUAAUAUUCCUCUUACUAAGUAACUCAUACUUAAUAUACGAGACAAGUCUAAUCGCUCAUAGAUAAUAUUAAAAAUGUUAAUAGGAUCACGUACUCACGAAUUUCAUAUAACAUAUUCGAAAAUCUAUCAACUGAAUGGUUCCACAUCAACUGAAAAUUGGGAGAAAGCUAAUCCCCUAUCAAAACUAUAUGCAAGUUAUGCAAAUAAAUAUUGCAUUUUCAUAAGAAAUGUCAUGUAGUAUAGCACAUAUCAUGAUGUUUAUAAUACACUUAUUCAAAUAAUUAACAUAUAUGCUAUCACUUUAUUGCAUUUAGGAUAAAAAUAUUUCUAUCAUUAAUGUACAUGCAACAAACAUAAUGAAUAUUCAUUAAGCAUAUAUAUUGUAUAUGGUUUACCAUGCUUCCACAUAGAAAAUUAAACUAUCAUGCAAUAAUCCACCAUUAUAUCAUAUAGCAUUAUCAAUAUAUUUCACAAAUAGAUAUCUUAUAAUUAAAAAGCGUACCCGAUAAAUUAUAUGUUCGUCAAUUCAAAAUUUUGUGGGUAGCACCAAAUCGUGUCAAUAUUAUGGAAGUGCUGAAUGAUUUAUUCAUAUCUCUUCCGUCCCAAGUCCGAUUUUGUUGAUUCAAUAUGAUCCGAACAGCCAACAAACUUUUCUACAACUUUUAUCUUUUACGUUUUCUGAAAUUCGGAUUGGAUCAUGAUCAAAAUAAGCCUCGAAGUCGGAAUAGGUGUGCUGUAAAUUUGCACCAAAAUUUCGUGCAUUGGACAUUGGUGAUGCGUUAAUAUGCGACGAGUUGCAUUGGUCACGAACGGUUGUAUUUUUCAUGAAAAGGUGCAUCGGCAGUUCUGCCACCCUUUCGUGUUUUCAUCAUAACUUCCUCGUACAAUCUCCGAUUGUGACGAUUUAACAUGUUCUGGAAAGCUAACUUGAUUAUCUACAACUUUUGUGAAAUGUUAAUUUGCCAUAUUCGGACUUUAACACCUUCGAAAAUGGGCAAGAAUGUGGACUUCAUGUUCUAUCCGAAAAUGAACUUUCUCCAAUUGUAUUUUGUGACUUCUUGAUUUUUUGGCAGACUAUCUUCUUCUCCAUCUCGUUUUCCAACGUGUGCAGAAAACACAAUUUACUAAAUCACAAAAAUUUCGUCUUAAGAUUGUUGGUCCCGAUACAUAAAACGGGUAGUGAAUUUAGUAAAUUGGUUGAACAAAUUAAUUAGUGAAAAUACGAAAAGAUUAGCCGAGGCGAGUUGACUCUGUCCUUAAGACGAAAUUUCCCCGCAACGGUGCUAACGGAUUAAAUGGAAAUCGUCUCCCAAGAUACAACAGCAAAACUUGGAAUAAGAGCACUCCAAAUCCCAAGUACGACGAACUGUACUUUGUGUAGAACUUUUCGAGAGAAUCUGUGAAGGGUAGGCUUAAUAUGUAGUAGUAGGCUUGUUUUUGGAUUGAAGUGAGGAAUUGUGGGAAAGUUAGGGUCUAUUUAUAAGGUUCGAAAAGUAGUGUCCUUUUGGAGUAAAAAGGUACCUUUUGUUUGAAUGGUUGCACCAUUUCAAAUUGAGCCAAUUGGGAGUGGUUGCACCAUUUCGAGUUGAGCCGAAUGGUUUGCAUUGGUUCGGCCGCACCAAUUCAAACCAGUCAGACAAUCGAGAUGGGCUUCGAGUAAUAAGGGCCCAAUGGGUUAAAAGCCCAUGAUCUAAUGUUUUUGGCCCGUCCCAAUAAUUUGAUAUAUAUACAGCUCAGUACUUCUCUACUUUUCCAAUGUGGGAUAACUCAAAAUCCCGCUUUCCUUAUAUUUUGGACUAGUAAUUUUUUUCAUUCACCACAAAAUUGGUUCUAAUCCAAAAUUCAUUAUAUACUCAAUUAGACGGUACAAUAACAUUGAUAAAAAAUUGUUCAUGACUCAAUUUUUAACCAAUUUUCCCAACAGGGAAUAGACAAAAAUACCCUAAGAUUUUUUCACAAUAAAAAAAUCUCCACCCCCAAAUAAGUAACUUUUAAAUUUAAGGGCCUAAAUUAAAUUUCUAAAAAAACUGCAGAAAGUUGAGGGAUUAAAUUACAAUUGUUCAAACUUACUUAAAAUCAUAACCCUACCCCCGGCUCCUUCGACCCUACACCCGGUGACAAACACCGGGUGGGUCUUCUGCUGCCACGUGUCCUUUUUGUAUUUCUCUAAAGGGCAUUGUAGCCGGACCAUCCGUUUUUUCCACAAAAACGGAUGCCACUCAAUGCAUGCCAUGCGGAAAAUAAAAAUUAAUUAUUUUCUUUUUUCUUUUGUGUUUCCUUAAAUUAUUUUACCUGUUUAAGUUAAAAGAAUUUUUCUUUUUUUUUUCUUUUUUUCUUUUUCUUUUUCUUCCCUAACAAAACUUGUUCUACUGAGUGUAUGUUGUUCUUAAUUAUGAAAAGUUCUAUUAAAAUAAUAAAUGAUAUUAGUGUAAAAUAAUGUUUAUUUUUAAUGAACUAUUAUAUUAAAUUAAAUAAAUAUUUUUAUAUUCCAUGUCAAUGUAGUUGAGAGAUUAAAUAUGCCUAAGAGGGGGUGAAUUAGACUUUUCAAAACUUUUAAUAUUUUUGCAGAUUUAAAAUAUCAAUUGAACUAUUUCUAGAAAAAAAUAUAUUUUUCUUUGAUAAUAAAAUAUUUCAAGUAAUAAAUGUUUUGCAAACUUUCAAAUUAAUGCCGAAUAAAGUUUUAGCAAUAAACAAUAUGAGUGCGGAAAUUUGAAUACGAUAUAAUAAAGUGCGUAAAACAAAUGACACCAAAUUUAUAGUGGUUCGGAGAAAUUCCCCUACUCCACUCUUCUGGGCCCUCGAACUUUUAUUGUAUGUUCCUCCAAGAUCCUUGGAUCCUCCACACGAAAAAAUAUGUGCUUACAAGACUCUAACGACUUUCACACCAACGACGUGCUUACAAGAGACUCACUCUUUCGCACUUAUCAAUACGUGCUUACAAGAGACUAACUCUUUCGCACUCAACAAAAACCUCACAACAAAGAAAUGCCCUCUAAGAGCUUUACAAAAUCCCACUCAAGGUAUAUAAUGAAAUAAGUGAUAAUCAAUAGGAGAAUUUCGAAUUUCCUGAUAAAUUAAUGACUCUCUAUAAGCUCUUUUCGAAAUUGGCUUGGAAUUAAUGAAGGUUGAAUGAAUGAUCCACUAUUUAUAGGUGAAGCUCUCCAUCACUUAGAAAGGAAGGAAUCAAUCUUUAAUCUCUUGAUUGAUUAGAUGAUAAGUGUGAUUGAUCUCCAGCUAAUUGAGUUCAAUUAAAUCACUUGAAUUUUGUAAGCAUUUGAAUUUUGAAACUCAAUAGGAGUGUUCUUUCUUCAAAAAUGAUUUUCAGCAAAGCAUCUUCCAGCCAGCUUCAGCAACUUCCGCGGCAGACUGUUUAACUUCCGGACAUCUUAUAUUUUUUGAAUCUUUGAUUGAGGAUUGAUUUAAAAUCUUUCCAAAUCCGAAAAUAUGAUUCUCAGUCAAUUUAAAUCAAUGAAAAAACGUUUUUCAAACAAUUCAAAUAAUUUUGAAUAUUAAAACAUUUUCCGAAGAUAGAAGAUCUUGAAUUUCGAAAAACCUUUUGCCUCCAAAAUCUGUAUUAGGCUGAAUAACAAAAAAUCUCAUGGAUAUUUUCUUUCAAAUCUCAGCAGACCCUUUUAAAAUAAUUUUCAAAUAAAAAAGAUUUAUUUUUGAAAAUAAAUUAUCAUUUUAUAAAGAGCCAAUUUUCGAAAAUAAAGACCAAAUAAAUUGAGCUAAUUAUUUGAUCUAAGAAAGAAGAAUUUGGACCAAGACUAGAAAGCCGUAAGGAUGAUCGUUCGGAUCUCGUUCUCAAGAUAGUUCAGGGACAAUAGGCCUCUUAUGGAUUAUGUCACUGCGGUCUUGAUUAAUUUCGUCUUCAUUUUGUCUAAUAAUAACAUGACUCAAAGAAAGACUAUUAGAUCAAAUCAAUUGUUUGUAAAUCAUCACAUUCGAAAGUAACCUUUCAGCUAACAAUCUCCUCCUUGAUGAUGACAAACAAUUGAUGCUUUAUAAUUGAAGUAGUUAUACCAAACCUCAAGUGUAAUCUCCCCCUCAAUAUAUGAGGUAUGUCAAACCUUGAGCGCAAGCUCCCCCUUAACGUUGGCAGAUUCGUAACAUAAGCUCCCCUUUACUUUUCCAAUGAGAUGAUAAAGAUAAUUAAAGCAUCAUUAAUUCUUUCUCCCCCUUUGUCAUCAAUCAAGGGAGGAUUUUCUAUAAUCUUCUUUGCAAUGCUCAAAUUGAUCAUCAUUAUUUUAGUCUCUUGCUUUUAAUUUCAGAUUUUGAAAUUCCAUAUGAACUUCCAGUACAUGUUCCGGAUCGUUUCUCAGAGUUGCAGCAGAUUUUUCUUUCGCGAAAGCAUAUGUACCAACAAGGAUAUUAGCUUAGCUUUGUUAUCCAAAAUUCCAGAUAAAUUUCCAGCAGUUUUUGUUACUUCGUUUUCUAAUUCCAGCUGAUCUUCCUGUGACUUUUGAGUUUCAACUUUCGAAUUUUAAGAGCAUCCAAGUUAUCCUAUAUGCCUGAAAAUUUUAUUUUCUCAAGGAAUUCUUGACACUUAAAGGAUUAGAGUCAUAAGUAUAUUAUUAUCACAAAAUAUUAUCAUAUCAUUUUUACUCAUAAAUCAUAGAAGAUUUACAUUUCAAUAAUUUACAACAUGCAAUGCAUCAAAAAAAUUCAAAUAAUAUUAUUAGCAAUUAAAGCACUUACCAUUUUCUUCAAAUAUAAUUCAAAUCAAUUUUUGCAUUUUGGUACCCAAAUGAAUUUACUGGUGGUUCCCAUUUUAUAUGGACAAGAAAAAGAUUUAUGCCCAAUUUUACCACAAUAAUUGCAAGUAUUAUAUGAUAAAGAUGAUGCAUUCGAUAACUUGCUCAAUUCCUUAUAAUGCGAGUGAAAACUAGUUCCAACUUUAUCUAAUGACACAUUUUGCAAGCCAAGUUAUUUAUCGAGAUUUUCUUUGCCCUUAAUGAAUUUUUCAAGGCAUUUAUUCAAAUCAAUAACCUCGUUUUCUAGCACAAAAUUCUUCACAGAUAGAGAAGAUUUUUCAUUUUCACAAAUAGCUAGAUUUUCAAUAUAAGAAUCUAAUUUAGCUUCUAUUUCUUUUUCGUCACUGACAAUAAUAAUUUUUCUUUUCAAGAUAUCAUUCUUAGAAGCUAAUUUUUCCAAAUCUCUUCUACACUCAUUUAUUGUUUCAUGCCAAUCGUCUUCACAAUUAAAAUCAUCACAUUCAAGGUCAUCAUCACAUUCUUCAAAAUCAUUAAUGUUAUAAAAGUAAGAACUAAAUACCUCUUUGUUUGUCAUGAGACAAACAUUUGCGAUUUCCUCAUCGGUCAUAUCCCCUUCGGAUUCUUGAUCAUCCCAAGUUGUGCCUAAUCCUUUGUGUUUGGACAUCCGUUGUAAAAGGGUGAUGAUCAAUUUGAGCAUUGCAAAUGAAUACACCUGUAGGACCUCAGGCGCUACCAGUUGUCCUAAAACCAAUUGGUGUUAGAAAAGACGCGAACCCUAGCCUUAUAGUGCAUUCAACACGCACAAGCGUCCACGGCAUUUGAUUGUGGGCCGCCCAUACUCGGGCCUCCACCACGUGGACAAUUGCUGCAAAACUCAGGCUAACAAUAGUGUACAAUAACUACAAGUAACAUAAAAAUUAAUCGAAGAAAUUGCUUGAAACAAAUAAUUCAAGAUAAUACAAUCGAACAAAAUGGCCUACACUUAGUUAAUUUAAACGGUUCAUGAGAUAUAAACCCCUCAGUAAGAAAACUAUUAGAAAUAGUCCCCUCCAUCUAAUUUUAAUAAAGCAAACCCCCUCAAUCAGUGAUUUACCAUGUGUAUCCUCAUAUUUUGUGUUAGACUAAGACCCCUAGACAUGACCAUGGGCCGGUUCACUCCGGUUCAUGGUUAAAUUUUUCAGGAUCCGGAACCGGCCCGUACAACAUACGGUUGGCCAGGUCGGGCCGGACCGCCGGUUCACUCCGGUUCCGGCCCGGCCCGGAAAUAUAUAUAUAUAUAUAUAUAUAUAUAUUUAAAUACUUGAUGGAUAAAUAUAUCAAAAGAAUUACUUUUAAAUAGGAAAAAACAGAAUGAGUUAAAUGAAAGGACUUGAACUUGAAAAAAUCGGGUGUGAGGGUAUUUAUAGGAAAAAAUAGGGGGACAAAAAUUCAAAAAAGAGCAAAUAAUGGCGGGUUCAGCUUUUUUCAUUUUUAUUUUUAUUUUUAUUUUUUAUUUUUUUUAGAUAAAUAUAUCAAAAGAAUUACUUUUAAAUAGGAAAAAACAGAAUGAGUUAAAUGAAAGGACUUGAACUUGAAAAAAUCGGGUGUGAGGGUAUUUAUAGGAAAAAAUAGGGGGACAAAAAUUCAAAAAAGAGCAAAUAAUGGCGGGUUCAGCUUUUUUCAUUUUUAUUUUUAUUUUUAUUUUUUAUUUUUUUUAAAUCCGGGUGAACAGCCGUGUUCACAUAAUUCCAGAACCAGGUGCGUCCCAAGGACACGGGCCGGUUCACGGUUCCGGUACCGGUUCACCGGUCAACAGGCCGGUCCAGUUCGUCAACGGGCCGGUUCCGGUUCAAAAACCGGCCCAUGGCUGUGUCUUAGACCCCCCUCCCCCACAAUGUUACAAAAAAACAGAGACAUUCAUAGAAGUUAACUAUCUUCCUAAACUAGAUCUUCCAAAAAUAUCGCGUAAACAAAUCUUCUUGUUAUCUAGCUCUUCCUAAAAACAUGCUCUCUCCAUCUUCUAUUAUUUUCUCCAUCUCCCCUCUCUCCAACUUUCUCUUCCAUCUUAUCAACGGAAACAGUUUGCUAUGUUCAGCAACGGCGACGAUGGGCUGCUGUUCACGUCGGUGGCGGCGAAAGGCGGUUAUGUGCAGCACGGCGGUGAGCGGUUGUGUGCAGGGACAUCGAAGUGUGGUGGUUUGUGGCGACGAUAUGCGACGGUUUGAAAUUCUUCCAUGGUUGAUUCCUCAAGAAUUAAGUUUGUAAACAAGCUUGUUUUUUAGAUCUACAAAUCCAUGGUCGCAUUAUUUGUUGACACGUAAAUAUUUGUUUCCCACGAAAUUUGUUUUAUCGUAUUCCACAACAAACAAGGGAUCAUUGUUGUGGCGAAAAGCAUAAAAUAUUAUAGUCGUCUACACCUAGAGUCAACUAUAAAUAACAUGUAGUUAAUUAUCUUGUUCCAGAGUAAACUAUAAUUUUUCCGAUGUCAACUAUAAAAAUUUGUAAUCAACUAUAAUAAAUGGAUAGUUAACUAUAUUGGUGCCAUAGUCAAUUAUAAAAAUUAGAUAGUCAACUAUAAUUUUUCCGAUGUCAAUUAUAUAAAAUUAGUAGUCAACUAUAAUUUUUUCAUUAAUUCACUAUAUUAUUUUUCAAUUUAAGAAACUAUGGUGUUGUAAAAUGGAAUACUGACGAUAAUAAAUCUCAUCUCUGGCUAAAACAUGACAUUUCAUAGAGUAGAAAAUAAAUUGAUUUCAACGACAAAAAAAUGAGAUGUAGAAGAAAAGGCAAAGUAGUAAGAAGAAAUUGAGUAAAAUACUGAGAAAAAAAACAAACAGAAAGAGACGAGAAGAGAGAAAAUGGCGGAAGAGAGAGAAGAGACCGAGGAGAGAGGAGAGAGGGAGAACAAAAAUAAAACAAAAAAUAAGUCACAAUGAAGAAAAAAAAGAAAUAGAUAAAUGAAUGGAGAAUAUAAAUUGACGGGUAAGGGAGAAAUAAGGAGAAUAGAGAGAACUAAGAAAAAUAUGGGCAAAAAAGAGCAUAAUGAGCAUAAACAUAAGACUAGGGGAUCACACAAUUCAGAAAAUAUUAUAUGCAUUUAUUUAUAGAGUGUCAAUUAUAAAUUGGGUUCAGACUCUAUUAUUUUAUCUAAUGAGGGUGUUAUCCCUCAUUUUCCCUAAAUUAAAUUUUACUCAAAAAACUAAAAUAAUAUUCUUUUACCAUUUUACUCAAUUAUAUUUUAUUUCUGCCACUAAAAGUUUAAUAACUAAAAUAUAUGUUAAUAUAACCCUAAAUGAUAAGAAUGAGUAAAAAAAUCUUUCACUAUAUGUAAAAAUAUGGGUUAAACACAGUUUGCACCCUUGUACUAUCACCGCUGUUGCAUUUACCCCCCUGUAUUAUAAAAUGCGACAAAACAACCCCUCACCUUACCAGUCAACUCUCACGUCUCUAACAACGUUAGUUUCUGUAGUGUAAUUACCUUUUUACCCUUACUUUUUUUUUUUAAUAAAAAAUACGAUUUUCGGAUUUGGGUAAAAAAAAUUUACACGUACAGAACAAAAGAAGAACAUAAGUGAUAAACUUUCCCCUCUUCUUCCCUUUCAUCUUCUCCACUGCGAUUGAACAAAACAUAAACGUUUUGGAAGCAAUUCGAAUAGAACUUGGUGUAGAAAAAGGUAAGUUCUCAAAUUAUCUCUUAAUUUAGGGUUGUGGGUUUUUGGGGGUUUUUAUCCCGCGCACAAUUUGGGUUUAGAUCUUCAAGGGUUUAGAUCAUUAAGUUCGAGUGGGUCAUCGUUCUGGGUCGGGGAAAAGUGGGAUGGAUUCCUACGUCAAAAUUCUGUUCACCAGCCGCAUGCACCGCGAGUGAGACACACGAAGGGGCACUAGGCAAGGGGCACUAGUAAUAAGUAAAUUUUCUACUAGUGAUAUUUACAUAUCGUUCACCACUUGUAAUAAAGACUAACCAUGAAUAUUGAGGAUAUGAUAUUCCUGUUGUGUUUUCUUUCCUCUGCACCAAUUAGCGGGAAAUAGCUUCCGUGUAAUAUUGUCUCCACCGAGUUUAAUUCAUCAAACGGCCAAAUGUUAUUCAUCUUCAGAUCACACACACAAAAAAUAUUAAAGCUUUUUGAACCGAUCGAGUUUAAUUCAUCAAAACAGAUGAUAAAUAAUGAACCUUGAGAGGCAGAUGGAGGGUUACUAAGUGGCGCGCGGUGGAGCUGGUGGAGAUACAGAUGAUGAAGUUGCUGCCAAUCUAUUAUUGGAAAUAUUACUCAAAAAAUUAAUCUCCCAUAUUUAGUAUAUAAUAGUAUACAUACAUGUAUACUAUUAUAUACUCGAUAAAUUGUUCGUUGAAAUCAUCUCAGACAGUAAUAUUACUGUUUGGCUUGGAAUGUUCGUGAAACAAUUCCCACAUCUUCUGUCUCCGCACCACCGCCGACGCCAGCCUCUCCCAACUGUUUUUUUCGUGAAAAAAAGUGCUAUUUACCCUUGAGGAUAUUAAUGAAUUAACUUCGCUUCAAAAAGCUUUAAUGUUUUAGUCCACAAUUCUUUUUUUUUUUGUGGGAUUUCCCCCUUUUGUUUGGUGUUUUUAACUAAAAUUCACUUGUAUGUUGUUUUUUUAUCUUUUUCUUUUUUUACUAUUUGAAUGGGUUUGUGAUAUGAAGAUGAAUAACAUUUGACCGUGUGUUGCAGCUGGCAACAAAUCUGGUGGAUCCAUCACAUGGAAGCUAUUCUCUGCUAAUUGGUACAGAGGAAAGAAGGGUAAAUGGCAAAUAGGCCCAUGAUAAGGGCACUUAAUUAAAAGAGUAACAUCCAACCUUUUUGUCUUCCAAAUAAAUCCAGCUUAUUCAAACUUAUUUGCAAAUAAGGAAAAUCCUUUUAUAUAUACCAAAAUUAUCCCCAAUUCAUUGAAACCCAAUUUAACUCCAAUUUCAUGAGUUACAUCCCUAUUUAGCCCAAUUUCAUCGAUUAACCAAUUUUAACCAUAAUUUCAAUUUUGACCCCAAUUUUGACCCGCCACCACCGGAGACCGCCGGUCGCCGCCGUUGACCGGCGUUGACUUUUUUUUUUUUUUUGUUAAUUAAUAUUACUGUCUUGGCUGCUAAAUUACUGUGUCCGGCAGUUAUUUAACUGUCGGAGACAGUAAUUUAACUGUUAUUUGACUUUUUUUUUUCUUCAGAAAUAUUUUAAUUAAUACUACUGUAUUCGUUUCUAAAUUAUUGUCUCCAGCAAUUAUUUAACUGUCGGAGACAGUAAUUUAACUGUUAAUUGACUUUUUUAUUCUUAAAAAAAUAUUUUUAAUUAAUAUUACUGUAUUCGUUGCUAAAUUACUGUCUCCAGCAGUUAUUUAACUGUCCGAGACAGUAAUUUAACUGUUAAUUGACUUUUUUAUUCUUAAAAAAAAUAUUUUUAAUUAAUAUUACUGUAUUCGUUGCUAAAUUACCGUCUCUAGCAGUUAUUUAACAGUCGGAGACAGUAAUUUAACUGUCAAUUAAUUUUUUUUAAAACUUUUUUCUUAAAAAUAUUAUUUUAAUUAAUAUUACUGCAUUGACUGCUAAAUUACUGUCUCCAACAGUAAUUUAACUAUAUUAGACAAUAAUAUUAAUAAUAUUACUGUUCGGGAGAAUAAUAUUCAUAAUAUUACUGUCCAAACAGUAAUAUUACUGUCUGAGACAAUAAUUUAGUAGCCAAGACAAUAAUAUUAAUUAAAAUAUUUUUUUUCUAAGAAAAAAAAAAGUCAACGCCGGAGACCGGCGGUCAACGGUGGUUGACCGGCCGGAAAAAAAUUUCAGUAAAAAAAAAAUUUAAAAAAAAAAAAAAUUUAAAAAAAAAAAAAAUUUAAAAAAAAAAAAAAAUCAAAGCCGGAAAAAAAGCAUUUCAAAAAAAAAAUUAUUUUCUAAAAAAAAAAAAUUAGGGGGUUAAUGUAAUAUAUUUGUUUAAAUCUGGGGUCAAUGUGUAAUAUUAAGGAAGUUAGAGCAUAAUGGAUGGAAUUGAUAAGAAUUAUAUUAUGGAGGGUAUUUUAGACUAAAGACAUGUGGAUGAGUUUAAUUGAGAGACUGUUUUUUUUGUGGACCAAAAUGCAUUUAAGUCCCAUGUGAUGGGUCUUUUUGCCAUUCGCCCAGGAAAGAAAAUGAAACAAGAAUAUUAUAUCGAUAUUCCUGGUUAGUCAUUUAAAUACAGAUAGAAAUUACAUGGUUGUGUGUGUGUAUAUAAAUAUAUGGGCAAUUACGGCCACCCCUGAGUUAUGGUCAAAUUACGAAAAUUCCCCUCAUAUUUGGGUAAUUACAGCCACUUCCCUCAACUAUGUAUUAUCUUUCGAAAAUACUCCUCCAGAGGUAAAUUUAGGGAUGUUAAAUCGGUAAAAUCCGAACCAAAAUUUGGUACGCCAACAUUUCAUACCGUUUACCGAACUGAAUAUACGAUUUGGUUCGGUAAAUAACCGAAUUACAUAAAUUUUAUAUAAAAAUAUUCAGAAUGAGGAGGUGGCUGUAAUUACCCAACAAGAGGGUUUGAUUUUCGUAAUUUGGCCAUACCUCAAUGGUGUGGCCGUAAUUUGCCCAUAAAUAUAUAGACAUAUAAAUAUGUUUCCUAUGUCACUUAUUUUGGAUUUUAAUUCUGGGGUGAGGUGGGCAUUUGCAGCAGGAGUUAGAAGAUUUUCUCUAAAAGAACUGAAGACUGCAACAGAAAAUUUCGCACAUGGAAAUAUCUGUUGUAGAAAGGGAUUUUGUAAGUUGUAUAAAGGCGAGUUAGAAAAUGGGUUUAUAGUGGCAGUUAAAAGAUUUGAACAGCAAGGCAUCUCACGUGCACAGCCGCUUCUCAAAGCAGAAGUCGAAACGAUGAGAAUUGCUGUUCAUCCAAAUAUACUUGGCUUGGUCGGUGUUUGCAUUACGCAAAAUGAAAAGCUGCUCGUUUAUCCCUUCAUGGUCAACAUAACUGUUGGAUCAUGCUUAAGAGGUAAUAAUUGGUGAAAUUUGGAGUCAAAUUGAGAUAUUUUAGUCAUUUACACACCUCUAGAUAUUGACUGAUUUUUUUUUGUAAAAGAGUUUUUUAUCGCACCCAUUUAUAAUAAGUAACAUGAUGGACUUAUUUGUAAUAGACUAUUUUUUUAAAACUCGUAAUCCUCUAAAUGGUACUUUUUAGGGAGUAAUGAAUCGUAAGAGGAUUUUUUUUUUCUAAUAUUAAUACCACAAUCAUGAUUAGCUCAGAGUUUUCCAAUCAAGGCAUCGAGAAGUCAAUUCUUCUUUGUUUUUAUGCUCGUUUAAAAGGUAUAUAUGAAAAAUUUGUUGGUAAAUUAAAAAAAUAAACGGAGGAAAAAUGUUUCAAAUAAAAAUUUUACUGCAGAUCGACCGAAGUCACAACCUCCACUUGAUUGGCCAGUAAGAAAACGGAUAGCAUUGGGGGCUGCAAGGGGUCUUUCCUACAUGCACGAUGAAUGUGAGAGUAAAAUCAUCCAUCGCGACGUCAAAGCUGCAAAUAUAUAUUUGAACGAGGACUUUGAUGCAAUUAUUGGUAACUUUGAGUUGGCCAUACCCACGGACCACGGUGUUACACGUGUGGAAAAAAAUGUAGGUGGAACAUUUGGUCAUGUAGCUCCUGAAUACCUCUCCGAUGGUAUUUGUUCGGCGCAAUCUGAUGUGUAUAGUUAUGGCAUAUUUCUUCUUGAGCUCGUCACUUGUCAGAGAGCUUACGAGGAAGACAUGUUGUUAGUUGAUUGGGUGAGAGCCUACCUACCUAUAUAUAUAAUGGUAUUGUAUCUUAUGCUAUAAAUUUCAUUGCCUUGAUACUAAACUAAGGGCGAAUGGCAAAAAGGCCCAUCACAUGGGACUUAAAUGCAUUUUGGUCCACAAAAAAAACAGUCUCUCAAUUAAACCCAUCCCCAUGUCUUUAGUCUAAAAUACCCUCAAUAAUAUAAUUCUUAUCAAUUCCACCCAUUAUGCUCUAACUUCCUUAAUAUUACACAUUGACCCCGGAUUUAAACAAAUAUAUCACAUUAACCCCCAAAACUUUUUUUUUUCAGAAAAUAAUUUUUUUUCUGAAAUGUUUUUUUUCCAGCCAGAUUCCGGCGCUGACCGCAGGAGACCGGCGGUCUCCAGCGUUGAUUUUUUUUUUUUUUUGUUUUUUUAAACUUUUUUUUUCCUGAAAUUUUUUUCCGGCCGGUCAACCACCAUUGACUUUUUUUUUUUUCUUAGAAAAAAAAAAUAUUUUAAUUAAUAUUACUGUUUUGGCUACUAAAUUACUGUCUCAGACAGUAAUAUUACUGUUUGGGACAAUAAUAUUAUGAAUAUAAUUUUCCUGAACAGUAAUAUUAUUAAUAUUAUUGUCUAAGACAGUUAAAUUACAGUUGGAGACAAUAAUUUAGCAUCCAAUGAAGUAAUAUUAAUUAAAAUAUUUUUUUUUUAAAAAAAAUUAUUAAAAAAAAAAAGUCAAUUAACAUUUAAAUUACUGUCUGCGACAGUUAAAUAACUGAUGGAGACAGUAAUUUAGCAACGAAUACAGUAAUAUUAAUUAAAAUUAUUUUUUUAAGAAUAAAAAAGUCUAUUAAUGGUUAAAUUACUGUCUCCAACAGUUAAAUAACUGCUGGAGACAGUAAUUUAGCAACGAAUACAGCAAUAUUAAUUAAAAUAUUUUUGAAGAAAAAAAAAAGUCAAUUAACAGUUAAUUUAGCAGCAAAGACAGUAAUAUUAAUUAAAAUAUUUUUCUUAAGAAAAAACAAAAUUAUAACAAAAAAAAAAAGUCAACGCCGGAGACUCGGCGGUCAAAUUCAGGAAAACAAAUUCAGGAAAAAAAAAGUUUUUCAAAAAAAAAAUAAAUAAAUAAAAAAAAUUCAACGCCGGAGACCGGUGGUCUCCGGCGGUCAACGCCGGUCAACGGCGGCGGCCGGCGAUCUCCGGUGGUGGCGGGUCAAAAUUGUGGUCAAAAUUGAAAUUAUGGUUAAAAUUGGUUAAUUGAUGAAAUUGGACUAAAUUGGGGGUGUAAAUCAUAAAAUUGGAGUUGAAUUGGGUUUCAAUGAAUUGGGGGUAAUUUCGGUAUAUAUAAAAGGAUUUUCCUUAUUUGCAAAUAAGUUUGAAUGAGCUGGAUUUAUUUGAAAGACAAAAAAAAUGGAUGUCCAUCUUUUAAUUAAGUGCCCUUGUCAUGGGCCUAUUUGCUAUUACCCCUAAACUAAUUAUAUAUGUCACCAAUAUCUAUUCUCUCAGGUAAAAAAAAUCUUAGAGGAGAAGAAGUGGGAGGGGAUUGUUGAUCUUGAUUUCGAGGAAGGUGUGGAGCAGCUUAUUCAUAUAGCUCUGCUCUGCACAGAAGACAACCCUGAGAAACGUCCAAGGAUGUCGGAUAUCGUGACGAUGCUACAACUUAUUGGAGACGGCUUAUUAGCUCAAAGGUGGGAAGAGUUUUGUAACAAAGACAUGCUCCAUCGUCAGGAGUUGAAGAGGUUCGAAACGAAUGGUUAGUUGGGAUUUCAUGGGUCUUAAAUCUACGAGUAGUUACCAAACCUUACACUAACGUGUAGCUCGACACGAGGAGAUGCAUUUUGUAUACUCUGCUUGUUUAAAAUCAAGAAAGAAGUCAAAUAGAAAUUGUGCCUACAGUGAGAGUCUUGAAGUAGGUAGGUUUCUCCAUUUCAUACAAGCGUAAAUAACACUUAAACCCCUGUGGUUACAAGCUCUUGCAGAUGACCUCCAUGUGCUCGUAAUAUUGGCACAUAACUCUCUUGUGGUUGAUAGAGGUAGUCCGUUAGUUUUUCCAACAAACUUCAAUGGGGUCAUCUGCAAAAUAUAGUAUUUUAGACGUUUAACACGCGCAGUUAAUUUUGACAGAAAAACUAACAAAAGCUAAGUAAUUAAUUAUGUGAUGAUGAUAUUACAAGCAUAAGGGAGUCAUCUACAAAAGCUUGUAACCACAGGGGUCAUCUCAAUGUAGACAACUUAUCCUACAUCGGUUAAACUUUACACUAAUGUAUAUUUCUUGAAUGAUAUGUACUCAUCUCAAUGAUAUAACCAGCGCAUCUCCUCUUCUCUUUCUCAAGUUGAUUCGUGGACAACAUGGUUUUCCAAAGCACUUUGAUCAAUUUGAUCAAGAAUCUUGAUCAAAUUUCAAAUCUCUACGACGCUUAUCGGCAUAACUCUUCUGCCGAUUCUGAGCUAUCUGACUCACGAAUCGCUUAUCUGCCUCACGAAUUCCACAGUAUGUUGAACCGGCUCAGGCCCAAUCAUACGUCUUUCACCCGCUUCUUCCCAAUUUACUCGAGACCUCCUUCCAUAUAAGGCCUCAUGUGGAGCCAUACCAAUCGAAGAAUGAUAACUAUUGUUGUAGGCAUCCUCAAUCAAUGGCAACUUUGAAUCCCCACUCCCGUGAAAAUCCAUUAAGCAUGCUCGAAGCAUAUCUUCUAAAGUCUGAAUAGUCCUCUCGGAUUGACCAUCGAUACGAGGAUCCAAUGCCGUACUGAACGACAACCGUGUACCCAUAGCCUGCUGCAAGCUCUUUCGAAAAACGGGAUCUUGAUCUAACACAAUAGAUAUCAGAAUUCCAUGAAGUCGGACAACCUAUAUGUUAAGACUUGGGGAAGUAUUUUGAUGAGAAAAACUAUUAUUUUUUUUUCUACCUUUAGAAUUUUCACUUACAAAUAGAAUUUCAACAGCCCCCCUUUUUACACCAUAAACAAGAUGACUCUUUGACUACAAACUCUUCAAACUUCUUAUUCAAACAUAGAAUAUCUAAAACACAGUCCAAUGAAAAAAUCUAGAAAAGUGGCUUAAUCUGGUAUCGAUAGACUCCAUUUGUAUAUGUCCGUAAUAGUAAUAGAUUCCAACAGCCUACCACAGUCCCAAUAUAUAACUGAUCAUAUAGGAAACGGGAAAAAUAUAAUUUUCAUCUUUCAAGUUUGCACUGAUUUUACAUUUGGUCCUCAUAAUUCAAAAAAUCAACACUUUUAGUCAUUUCCGUCAAUUUUCCGGUAGUACUAACAGAAUCAAGCUUGUGUCCUUCACUGCCUUAGCUGACAAAUUAACGGUAAAUUGGCGGAAAUGACUAAAAGUAUUAAAUUAUUGUAACACGAGGGACCAAAUGUGUUUUUUUGUGAACAUCCAAAUAAGAAAUCGGUGCAAACUUGAGGGAUGUAAACUAUAAUUUUCCCUAUAGAAAACAUAAAAAUCUGAUGCAGACACCAAAUUUGACUUAUUAGAGAGAAAUGGUAGUGUAAUUGAAACAUAUUGCACGAUCAUGUUGGGCUGCAUAAUUAAUCUGAUUGCCCUGGGCUAUCUGGUAAAAUUAGACCCAAUUGCUCAUUGGAUCUCUUCAUUAUUUCUGUUGAUUUAUAUACCUAUAGAAAUCAAUUAGCCUAAGUUGUAACAGUUAAGUUGUGGAAAAAAUAUUCAGUUACGACAACUGUAAAUCUUGUGUUGACACAGUUAUACUCUACUUAAAGUAAAUAAACAGAACACAAGAAUUAAUGUGGUUCAGACAAAAUUGUGCCCUACAUCCACGUGGACAUGCAAACACGAUUUCACUAGUUCAGAUUUAUAGUAUACAUUAAUAGGACUUAAUAAAAACACUAAAGACUCCCUCUUUAUGUAAUAUGCCGUUCUUGCAUACAACUCGAACUUCGUGUUUCUUCCAACAGCAGCUCCACACCGCGUGCCUACAACUCCUCUCUGGCCUGAACUCCCUCCAGUGACGCGGUUGAUCUCUCAAGAGAUCUAUACAACAAAUCUGUAUAUGUUGACACAUCCAACGAUGGCACAGUUCUGUUUAGCAGAACGUUUCAGCGAUUCUUCAAAGCUAUGGAGUGAUUUUUCUCCCAACAAAAGUGUCAUGGUCUUUGUGAGGUGAGGAGCCUUAUAUAGGCGUGAGAUCGGCCUCCAAAGACCUGUCUUCCAAAGGAACCGAAUAACUAGGAAACAGAAUCCUAGUCAAUAUCUAGUUCUAAUCUAGAUAACUAGAAAAGAUUCCUAACAAGAGUAAAGUACAAGGAAAUAAAUCUAAGUCCUAAAGUAUUACAAAGGUAGGACUCUAAAUUUCCAAAAUAAACAUGGGAACAAAUCUUUAGCCAAUCUUUACUUCCCAAGUGAGGCGGAUUUCUUCCUUGGUGGAAAUCUGGCGCCAACAAUCUCCCCAUUUGGCAUAGAUUUGGUCAGAACCCAUGUUUAACAAGAACUCCCCAUGCAGAUAAGACGGAAAGAGAAAAGACUCCCCCUGCAUCACACACUGUUAGCACAUAACAUCACAUACUGUUAGCACAAUAGCAGUGCUACAUAACUAUUUCCUGCAGUGAGAGAAAUAAGAGAGAGAUAUUAACUCAAAAAUAGUUAUCAAUGCAGAUAAAAAGAUAACAAAUAGAGUCUAAGAUGCAGAAAAAAGAAAGCAAGCUAUUACAGACCAAAAGUAAUAGCAGAUAGUUUAAAGAUAAAAGACAUAAAAACGCAAAAACAUAAAUCUCUGCUUUAGUAACUAAAGCCAGAGAACAAAUCAUCAUCAUCACGAGAGCUGGGCUGUGGAGGAGUAAGGAGGGAUGCCUGCUUUUUGCCUUUGUCUUUGGUCUUGGUUGAAGCCGCAGGAGUUGGAGUUGUUGCUACUCCCCCUUUCUGACCAGAAUGUGCCAAAGUCCUAAGCAGCUCAUCCUGAAUAGAUGCAAACCCUUGAGCUAGCUCAGCCUGGAUAGUCUCCUAAAAACGAGUGAGCUCAUCCUUGGUGACCACAUCAACUGGCGGUGGAACAGAGAUAGAGACAAUGGGAGCCUUCUUCGCACAAGGGACCGUCUGAACAACAGAAGGAUGGACAGGAGGCAGAUCAGCAAAAUGUUCAGGCCGGGCCAUUUUUUUAACACUUUGGCAGUGAGAACAGAGGCCAUAGUAUCUUUUAAAACAGAGGGUUUGGUAGAAACCUCGUUUGGACAUUUAUAAAAUUCAUUAAUCAAGGCAAGAGUCACAGAAUAGAAGGAACCCCUCACAUACACUUUCCCAUACCCACGAGACCCCUCAACAGAAAAACGAUCAGAAAGAUUGGCAUAAAACUCAACAAUGACAGAUCGUUCGAAAGGUUGUGCACUCACAAUAGUGCCAAGCAACCCUUGAGAUUUAAGAAGACGGAAAAUCCCAGACAGAGGUAACACAACCCUAGACAGAACACGCUCAGGAGAGCACGCACGCUUACUCAUACUGUCCCAGUUUUCUUUAGCAAGAGCGGAAUAAAAGAGGGUUGAGAAACAGUUACCAGCAAAGAGUUGAGAGCCCACAGAUGAAUCAGAGGAUUCAGAAAGCAAACGGUCAUCCUCAGGAAUAGGCUCAGAACAAGAGGAUUGAUGACCUUCAGACUCGGAGAGAGGAGUGGAGACAGAUGGGCCUUCGUGUUUUCGAUUAGAGCGACGGAGUUGAGCAGGAAACACAACAUUGCGGGGGGCAACCUCGGGAUCUGAGGGCAGAUCAUUUUGGGGGGUUGCAGAGAGGCUAUCACCGUCAAGAGCAGCUACUCCGGUAUCAACAGGGUCAGGCACAUCACUUGUCCUCGGUAAUGGUGAAGCCAUGGGAGUAGAGAUGGGGUCCAGAUCUGUGGCGACGGGAACAGGAGAGAGUUCCACAGCAGUUGGGUGAACUUUUUUCGAGGAUUUUUUCGACUUCUUCUCAGCAGGCGACGCAGAUGGAGUGUGGCGUCGUUUCUUGGAGCCCUCAGCAGAUCGAUUCUUGCCCAUGGUGAAUAGUGAACACAGAGAAAACAAGAGAAAAAGAAAAGGAACGGCGGUAGAGAAGAAGAGAAUGAAUAAAGAGUGAGAGGGAAACCCUAGAAGGGGUAGGUAGCUAUUUAAAGCACAGAGUCCAAGAAAAGAGGCAGAAAAAGAGAUGACUCUUCAGAUACGGAAUAUUUUCAAAUCAGAAGAAGAUCCCACAAAAUCCGCGACCAAUAACACACAAGAUAUUCUCCACACGAAACAUCAAAAAAUAGAGAAGGCAGAUGACAUGGCCAUAGCCACGUGGCCAGAGACAACUAGUAGCCAAAAAAUUCACAAAGCCCAUAAAAAAUUCAAAAAAAAAGAUUUAAAAGGAAAAAAAAUCACAUCUUUUAAGGAAAAGAAAAUCAAGAAGAUCACAAGAUUAAAAGUUGAGGGCUUGGUUUUCAUGAAUUAAUUUGAUAAUCUUAAAGAGAAUCACAAUAGAAGGCCACCGAGGAAGCUCUUGGAUGCACGAUAUAACUAUAACCCCAUGACCAUACUCAAGAAACCAUAAUUUAGAUAAUUUUAUUAGGGUUAUGAAUGCGUAUGUGAUUAGCAAAACAAUUCGAUCGUGUACUUCAAGGAGAAUUUCGCUAAUGAAUGCUUGAAUAUCAUCCCAACUUUUUUUUUUUUUUUUGAAUUCGGACUAUUUAUCUUCCUCCCCUUUUUGUUUUGUUGAUAUGAUGUUCAAGCAAACAUUAGGAGGGCAACCUCCUUAAGAAUCCACAUAGCUUUUAAAUAGAAGUUAGGGAUGCAUAUGCGGUAGCGUAAUUCUCCCAAUAGAGGUAUGAUCUUUGAGAUGAAUGAGGUCAUCGACAUUGAUCACUCCCGAUAGAGGGGGCAACACACUUCUAUCAUGGCUAACUGUGGAAACAAAAAUUAAUUCACAAAAACUAACACACAAACAAUUAGUCAAAAAUGAACCUCCCAUCAUUCCUAUUCCAAAAACAAUGAUGUCACAUUUAUAGGUGACACAUAUAAUGUCCGAUUAAAAGAUUCAAGUGCAAUCCGGACAAAAACAUUAAUUGCACUAUCAUCGAAAAUUCAGUUUUGCACAUGGCAAAUUCCAAGCGCUUUAUGCAAGGAAUCAAACCUAAGGAAAUCGAGGGGCUUUGUGAAAAUAUCAGCUAAUUGAUUGUCUGUGGACACAUAAUCCAUAGUCACACGUUUCUGCUCAACUAAUUGCCUGAUGAAAUGGUGUCGAAGAUCUAUGUGUUUGGUUCUAGAGUGCUGGACAGGGUUUUUUGAGAUAUUUAUGGCACUUUCAUUAUCAUAGAAUAUAUGAAGGAGUUUUUCAUGAAAGCCAUAGUCAUUUAACAUAUGUUGCAUCCAAAGAAGUUGAGUGCAACAACUACCUGCAGCUAUGUACUCAGAUUCAGCUGUUGAUAAAGAGAUGCUGUUUUGUUUCUUACUGUACCAAGAUACUAAGUUGUUUCCCAUGUAGAAACAGCCUCCUGUAGUACUUUUUCUGUCAUCCACAUCUCCUGCCCAGUCAGCAUCACUGUAUCCUGCAAGACAAGUAUUAGUAUCUUUGGAGUACCAUAUCCCUAGUUCAAGAGUUCCACUCACGUAUCGUAUGAUGCGUUUGACUGCACUUAAGUGACUUUCUUUAGGAUUUGAUUGGUACCUAGCACAUACUCCUACACUGAAACAAAUUUCAGGUCUACUGGCAGUAAGAUAAAGUAAACUUCCAAUCAUACUCCUGUAUAAUGUGGGAUCCACGUCUGUGCCGUCACAGUCUCGUCCCAACUUUUCAGUAGGACUCAUUGGAGUUUUUAGAGGCUUUGCAUUAUCUAACCCAAACUUACUUACCAGAUUCUUGGCAUACUUGCUUUGUGUGAUGAAAAUUCCAUCCUUCAUCUGCUUUACCUGCAAGCCAAGAAAGUAUGUUAGCUCUCCAACCAUACUCAUUUCAAUUUCGUUUGACAUUUGAGAGAUAAACUCAUCUUUCUUGUGGUCAGAAGUAGACCCAAAGACAAUAUCGUCCACAUAGAUUUGGGCCAAAAGAAUUUUGUUUUUAAAAUUUUUGACAAAUAGUGUUUUAUCUACCCCACCUCUUCUGUAUCCUUUUUCAACUAAAAAGGUCGUAAGUCGCUCAUACCAAGCCCGAGGGGCUUGUUUGAGACCGUAUAUGGCCUUUUUAAGUUUAUAGACAUGUUGAGGUUUGAGUGGAUCUUGAAAACCUUUUGGUUGUUUGACAUACACUUCUUCAUUUAAGAGCCCAUUUAAAAACGCACUUUUUACAUCCAUUUGAAAAAGUUUAAACUUUAAAGCACAAGAUACUGAGAGUAAAAGACGUAUUGACUCAAGACGUGCUACCGGAGCGAAUGUUUCAUCGAAAUCUACUCCUUCAAUUUGGGUGUAUCCUUGAGCAACAAGACGGGCUUUGUUGCGAGUUAUAUUACCAAGUUCGUCCGUUUUGUUUUUGAACACCCAUUUUGUACCUAUAACGUUUACCUGGUCGGGUUGUGGAACAAGUUCCCACACUUCAUGUCGAGUGAACUGCUCAAGUUCCUCUUGCAUAGCUUGUACCCAAUACUCAUCAAGAAUUGCUUCUUUGAUGUUUUUUGGUUCUAUAGUAGAAGUAUAGCAAACAUACCUGACCAUUUCUUGGUAAUCAACUUUGGGCUUAUUUCAAGUUUUCAUACCUUCAUCAAAUUCUCCUAUCACCUGUUCAGAAGGAUGAUUUUUUACAACUUUGAUGGUCUUUUUCUUUCUUAUGUGCUUUCUUUCACUGCUGUCACUCCUUCUGUGCUUUCCUUCACGGUCGUCACUUCUUCUGUGCUGACGUCUGGCGUUUGUACUGGUACAAUGAUUUUUCCUGGACUAGCGUCUUCCUCAUCCAUUCCUGCAGAUAAAACUUCAUUAAAGCUUACAUUAAUGGAUUCCAUAACAGUCAUUGUACGUUCAUUAUAAACGCGAUAUGCCUUGCUGUUUAGAGAGUAACCAAGAAAGGUACCUUUAUCUCCUCUUGCAGAGAACUUACCGAGUUGUUCUCUAUCGUUCAAGAUGUAACAUUCACACCCAAAGACAUGAAAGUAACUUAAGUUGGGUUUCUUACCUUUCCAUACUUCAUAUGGAGUUUUCUUGGUACCUGGUCUGAGGUGUACACGGUUUAUGGUGUAGCAGGCAGUGCUCAUAGAUUCAGCCCAGAACUUUGUGGCCACUCUUGCUGAGAUGAGCAUUACGCGAGUCAUUUCUUGGAGAGUUCUGUUCUUUCUUUCUACCACACCAUUCUGCUGUGGUGUCUUUGGUGCUGAGAAUUCGUGAGAGAUACCAUGUUUAUCACAAAAUUUUGUGAAUGAAGAGUUUUCAAACUCUCUCCCAUGAUCGCUUCGAAUUCUUCCAAUAUUGCUGAAUUUUUCAAUUCGCAAUUUUUUGUACAGAGUUUUGAACUCAUAAAAGGUCUCUGACUUUUCCCUAAUGAAACGUACCCAAGUGAACCUUGAGAAAUCAUCAACACAAACUAGAACAUACAUUUUUCCACCAAUGCUCUCGGUUUGCAUUGGUCCCAUUAAAUCCAUGUGAAUGAGUUCCAAGGUCCUGCUAGUCCCUGCAUGAUCUGUGUUCUUGUGAGAUGUCCGUACUUGUUUUCCCAGAGGACAGUCACCACAUGACUCAGGUGUGUCAGACUUCAGUUGUGGUACCCCUUUCACGCAUCCUGUAUUAACAAGACGGAUUAGAUCAUGAAAAUUUAAGUGACCUAGUUUCCGAUGCCAGAGAUCAGUGAGGUCAGAAGAAGUGUGAUGACUUUGAUCCGAUUUGUCAAUCUGAUCAUUUUUUUAGCAAUUAUCUGAUGACCUAUAUCCGGUUAGAACACAAUUUUUAUUUUCAUCAAAUACUUCACACUUACGCUUUGUGAACAAUACAGAGUCGUAUAGAUCACACAACUGACUUACACUCAGAAGAUUUGAUUUCAAACCUUCCACAUACAGAACAUUGUUCAAGUUUGGCAACCCUCCAACAUUCAAGUCCCCUUUUCCUUUUACAUAAGCCUUAUUUCCAUCUCCAAAAGUAACCUGUCCACUAGACAUGUUAUGCAGAUUUGACAAGAAAUUCCUUUCACCUGUCAUGUGUUUGGAGCAUCCACUGUCAAAAUACCAAGAGUUAGUAGCACAUGCAUUUAAAGAUAAAAUGGCUGAUCAACAGUUAGUACUAUCAUUUGUCAUCCUUUGUUUAUAAGAGUUGUUACUUUGAGAGUAACUAACCCACGCAGCGGAAUUGGAUGUCUGAUAUGCUAACUAUUUAUUUAUCAAUUUCCAUAUUUUAAAGAAUUUAGGCCUGACAUGCCCUAUUUUGUGACAGAAGUGACAGAUAGGAAUAAACUUAGUAGGAUAGGUUUGGUUGUUCACACAUGAAGAUGUGGAAUUGACGAAUCUGAUUUUCUGGUUUGAACCAGUGUUAGCAUUAGAUUGCCCAUCAGUAUACCCUAACCUAAUUCUUUUGGAAUUAGAAGGAUGAGCAUUUAUGAUUUCAUCUAAUCUAUUUGAGGGAAGAAAUGCAGUGCGAUUUAACUUACUGACAGAAGCCUCAAACAUUGUGCUAACAGGCGGUGAAACAUCUUGGUGAUCAUCAGCAUGCAUUUUUGGAAAAAGAUUUUUCCUGAUUCUUUUUGCUCUUUCACCAUCAUAGUCCUGCCAAUACUUCAACAAAUCUUUGAGAUUGUCGAUGUCUCUUUGUGCGAAGUCCUGUUCUACUUCAAAGACUUCAAUCUCCAUCUCAAGUUCAUCAAUCUUGUCAUUCAGUUUUGUGAUAACUCAUUUGUUUUCUUCCUCUUGUUCUUUGAUUCUUUCUUUCGGGAGUUUAUUUUCAUUACUGACUUCAUGACAUUGCUUCAGGAGAUCAUCCAAUUGUUGUUGAAUUUGUUGGAUGGACUCUUGAUAAGGAACGUCAAAUUGGAUUCGUGUGGCAAAAUAACUAUUUAAUUCGGAGAAGAGUUAUUAAUGGGCAUUGGUGGAAAUAUCAAAAGAAAUUAUGGGAAAAUAAGGGUUUUCGACGAACUUAAACGUAGUUGAGUAUGAAACGAACUCUAUCUCAAGUAAAACAACGUAAGGAACAAAACUCAUGAGCAAAGCUCAUGAAUCACGUCAAAUUUCAGCAAUCCAAGGUCGUUUAGACUUCCAAACGUUCGUUUUUGCUAUUUUAGGUAAGUUUUAGAAAAUUAAUAUCAAAUCAUAGAAAAAUCGGAUUAGGAUUCCGUAAAUUGGGUUGUUCCCAAAAUUACGAGAUCUACUAGAAUCAGACUCUAACUCGUUUUUGCCGUUUUUGGUAAUUUUUAGUAUUUUCUUAUUUUAAUUAGGGUUUUCAGUUUUUUAGUAUAAAUAGCUGCCUUAGGACUUUAUUUUAAAAAAAAAUUUCGAAUUUUAAUAAAAUAAUUAGAGUUUUCUCUAUUUUUCUGGUGGAUUCCAGAGUUUUCGGUGGAUUCCGAAUGUUAUUUUGUUCUAUAGGAUUAAUUCGUAGAAAUUAAUUCUUUACCGUGCUUCCGUUCUGCGUCAGUUGAGUUAAAUUGGAUUCGUGUGGCAAAAUAACUAUUUAAUUCGGAGAAGAGUUAUUAAUGGGCAUUGGUGGAAAUAUCGAAAGAAAUUAUGGGAAAAUAAGGGUUUUCGACGAACUUAAACGUAGUUGAGUAUGAAACGAACUCUAUCUCAAGUAAAACAACGUAAGGAACAAAACUCAUGAGCAAAGCUCAUGAAUCACGUCAAAUUUCAGCAAUCCAAGGUCGUUUAGACUUCCAAACGUUCGUUUUUGCUAUUUUAGGUAAGUUUUAGAAAAUUAAUAUCAAAUCAUAGAAAAAUCGGAUUAGGAUUCCGUAAAUUGGGUUGUUCCCAAAAUUACGAGAUCUACUAGAAUCAGACUCUAACUCGUUUUUGCCGUUUUUGGUAAUUUUUAGUAUUUUCUUAUUUUAAUUAGGGUUUUCAGUUUUUUAGUAUAAAUAGCUGCCUUAGGACUUUAUUUUAAAAAAAAAAUUCGAAUUUUAAUAAAAUAAUUAGAGUUUUCUCUAUUUUUCUGGUGGAUUCCAGAGUUUUCGGUGGAUUCCGAAUGUUAUUUUGUUCUAUAGGAUUAAUUCGUAGAAAUUAAUUCUUUACCGUGCUUCCGUUCUGCGUCAACUCUUCACCUUCAUCUUCUGAUUCGUCACUCCAUGUGGACAGAAAAAGGUAUAUUUAGAUUUCCGUUAUUUUCAUUUUCCUGUGUGACAUACCUGAGAUGUGGCGGUUCUGUGCACGUGAUGUCCUCGAGUGUGUCUUCUGUGAUUCUGCAAGUGCCACAGAAAUCAUUGUUUGUAUCAUCGCCACUAGCUUCACUCUCAUCAUCAGAUUCUGAGUUGUCAUCACUCCAAGUUGUGGCAAGUGAUUUUCCUUGUUUUUUCAGAGUGUUAGCACAUUCUGCUUGGAUAUGACCAUAACCAUGACACUCUCUACAUCGAAUUCCCUUCUUGACUUCUGGUUUAUCUGUAGAGGUCCUGGGUUUUCUCUCAGAGUUUGUAGGAUGUCCAUUUCUCUUGAUGAAUUUUCCAAAAUUUGUUGCUAUUAAGGACAUGGAUUUUGUGAGCUUGACUUCAAGUGCUGACAUAGGAACAGUAGGCACAUGUGUUGUGGUGUCCGAUACAGUUUGCAGAGCAAUUUUCCUUUCCUUGUCCAUUCUGCUGAUGUUCAACUUGUUUUCAAAAGUUUGUAGAUUUCCAAUCAGAUCGUCAAGUCGCAAUGAGUCCACAUCACUUGCUUCCUCUAUGGCAGUGAUCUUGUACGCGAAUCGGUCUGGCAUGGAUCUGAGCACUUUUCGUACAAGUUUUACUUCAGGAUAAGUUUCACCGAGGCCAUGAGCUUCAUUUGAAAUGUCACAUAAUUUGGAUUUAAACUCGCUCACGGUCUCAUUUUCUUCCAUACGAAGAUCUUCAAACCGAGUGGCAAGCAUUUGAAGUUUGGAUAGUCUGACCGAAGCAGUUCCCUCGUAAGCUGUUGGGAGUUUCUCCCAUGCUUCUUUAGCACACUCACACGCCGAGAUUAUCUUGAAUUGAUUGAUAUCAAUUCCAUUGAAUAUAGCAUUCAAGGCUUUGGAAUUCAUAUUUGCUGCAAUUUGUUCGGCUUUCCUCUAGUCUUUCUCAUGCUUCUCAGUUUCAAUCCCUUUCUCAUCUGUGGCAACGGGUCGCUUCCAUCCAGUUAACACUGUUCGCCAUGCAUCUUCAUCAAUUGACUUUAUGAAGAUCUUCAUCUUAGUUUUCCAAUAGGAGUAGUUGGUUCCCGUGAGCAGUGGUGGGCGAGUAGUGGAACCUCCUUCCAUAUGAGAACUCAUAGUACCUAUGAACAAUAAAUGGGAAAUAAAUCAAAUUCCCAAAAUCACACACUAUGUAUAUUUAGUGAGAGGCUCUUGAUGCCUAUUGUUGAUUUAUAUGCCUAUAGAAAUCAAUUAGCCUAAGUUGUAACAGUUAAGUUGUGGAAACAAUAUUCAGUUACAACUGUAAAUCUUGUGUUGACACAGUUAUACUCUGCUUAAAGUAAAUAAACAGAACACAAGAAUUAAUGUGGUUCAGACACAAUUGUGCCCUACAUCCACGUGGACCUGCAAACACGAUUUCACUAGUUCAGAUUUAUAGUGUACAUUCAUAGGACUUAAUAAAAACACUAAAGACUCCCUCUUUAUGUAAUAUGCCGUUCUUGCACACAACUCGAACUUCGUGUUUCUUCCAACAGCAGCUCCACACCACGUGCCUAGAACUUCUUUCUGGCCUGAAAUCCCUCCAGUGACACGGUUGAUCUCUCAAGAGAUCUAUACAGCAAAUCUGUAUAUGUUGACACAUCCAACGAUGGCACAGUUCUAUUUAGCAGAACGUUUCAGCGAUUCUUCAAAGCUAUGGAGUGAUUUUUCUCCCAACAAAAGUGUCACGAUCUUUGUGAGGUGAGGAGCCUUAUAUAGGCGUGAGAUCAGCCUCCAAAGACCUGUCUUCCAAAGGAACCGAAUAACUAGGAAAUAGAAUCCUAGUCAAUAUCUAGUUCUAAUCUAGAUAACUAUAAAAGAUUCCUAACAAGAGUAAAGUACAAGGAAAUAAAUCUAAGUCCUAAAGUAUUACAAAGGUAGGACUCUAAAUUUUCAAAAUAAACAUGGGAACAAAUCUUUAGCCAAUCUUUACUUCCCAUGUGAGGCGGAUUUCUUCCUUGGUGGAAAUCUGGCGGCAACAAUCUCCCCCUUUGGCAUAGAUUUGGUCAGAACCCAUGUUUAACAAGAACUCCCCAUGCAGAUAAGACGGAAAGAGAAAAGACUCCCCCUGCAUCACGCACUGUUUAGCACAUAACAUCACAUACUGUUAGCACAAGUGUACGAUGUAUCGAUUCAAAACUAAUGUUGAUACUUAUUAUAAUAUUAAUAACGAUACUUAUAUUGAUACUAAUAUUAAUAUUCAUACAUAUACUUUAUUGAUAUUCAUACUAUUUACUGAUAGUUAUAUUAAUACGUAUGCUGAUACUGAUACUGAUAUUUAUAUUUAUACUAGUACUAAUAGUGAUAUUUAUACUGAUAUUGAUACAUACACUAACACUGAUACUAGUUCUUAUAGAAAUAAUGACAAUAAUAUUGAUACUAAUACUAUUACUGAUGUUGAUACACAUACUAAUUGUAUAUUAAUACUCGUACUACAAAUAUAUUACUCAUACUAUUACUAAUAUGAAUAUUGAUACUAAUAACAAUAUCAAUAUUGGUACUCAUAUUGAUACUCGUAAUGAUACUCGUACUCAUGCUGAUAUUGAUAUGCACAUUGGUAUUGAUACUGAUACUGGUACUAAUACUCUUACUAACUGAUACCUAUACUCAUAUAGAUAGUGAUACUCACACCGAUACUCAUAGUGACAUUGAAUAAUACUGGCAUUAGUAAUGAUACUCAUAUUUAUAUUGAUAUUCAUAUUAAUAAUAUACUAAUAUUGAUUACUGAUACUAAUAAUGAUACUCAUACAAAUACUCGUACAUAUACUCACAUUGAUACUCAUGUUGAUAGUCUAUCGACAGACAUACUGAUAUUACGCGUGCAUUGUAAAAUGAUUGCAGAAAUAGAUCCAGAGCUUCAAACAACAUGAAAUCAUCACUAAAAGAAAGAGCUCGACGAGAGGAAUCUAACGAUAGUCAUCAUUUUCUGACCACCGGAGAGAACGUAUGACUCAGAGAAACAACAUCGUCAGUUGGACACCCACAGGGUGAAAAUUCGGAUAUGAGAGUGUGAGAGAAAGAGAUAGACAAUUGUGAGUUGGUGCAAACAAAAAAAACAUUAUUUUUUUUUUCUUUUUCUAUUUUCUGAUUUCUCACAAAAAAAUCCUCAAUUUUUUUUCGAAAACUGUUACAAGUUCCUGGAAUCGCCAUUAUAUACAAGCAACAAACUGUCAAUUGUUAUUCAUGAAUAACCACCCUAUAACACAAACAAGACACACACACAUUAAAUUUUAGUUGAAAUUAACAAAAAGGUGGAUUGCAAUUUGAACCGAGUUUAAUUCAUCAAAACAGAAGAUAAAUUACGAACCUUGAGAGGCAGAUGGUGGGUUAUUAAAUGGUGGUGGGUUGCUAGAAAUACUACUGAAAAAAUAAUCUCGAAUAUUUAAUACACAGUAUAUCUCAAAUGAAAGAUCCCAUCUGCUUUAUAUAACAAUAAAAAAAAUGAAAAUAAUAAAAUACUCGAGAAAUUGUUGGUUGAAAUGAUCAUCGUCAUCCUCUGAUGAAG